AACAAAAAAAUCCCCAAAAUACGAUACCAUAUCUCUGUCUCUGUCUCUGUCUCUGUCUCUCUCUCUCUAUCUCUGUCUCUCUCACGACUGCAAGCAGCGGCAGUGGCAGCAGCAGCAAGGGGGGAUGACGGCGAGCAGCGAGCGACGAGCGACGACGGCGAGCAGUGAGUGACGACGGCUAGCAGCGGCAGCGGCGGUGAAAAAGUGAGUCCCUGAAUCGCUCAACAUCUCUUUUUGGUCCACCAUUGCUCCUCCUCCAUAGCCUCACAACUCUUGCCUCGACCACGACAACACCAAAUAUCUACAUCCACUGUCACCAUUGCUUUUUCUUCUUCCUCCAAAUUUGCCGCCUCAUCCGCCUCCACGGAGUCUCUGGUUAGGCCCUUCGUUUGCUGUCAGAUCGGAGCCUCCAAAGUGGAAAUCAUAGAUCCGUUGAGCUAAGUAUGUAUGUUCCCAAAGAUAGAGUCACCAAUCUUCAUCAGGGUUAUGGCUUUGUAGAAUUCCGAAGUGAAGAGGAUGCUGAUUAUGUAACUUGUACUUCAUUGCUUGUGGCAUCAUUAGCAGUGCUCUCUAUAGCUUCUUAAGUGAUGCUAAGAUCACGGCAAUAAAAGUUCUGAAUAUGAUUAAACUUGAUGGAAUGCCAAUAAGGGUGAAUAAGGUCCUCGUCGAUCAUACCAAUUCAAAGAUUGGAACAGAUGCACCGCCAAGCAGUACUCCAAACUGGACAAUUAACGUUUUAGAUGUGAGGAAAAUACUUACUAAAAGUGCACACUAGUUGGUGCUUAUAAGAAGUUCUUUUUAUUCAUAAACUGGGCAUCAGUGUGAAUGACUAAACCAUUACUUGGUGCUUAUAAGAACUGCUUUUUAUUCAUGAACUGGGUAUCAGAAUU